rnacentral:rRNA from 1 species
GGCGAACGCUGGCGGCGUGCUUAACACAUGCAAGUCGAACGGAAAGGCCCUGCUUUUGUGGGGUGCUCGAGUGGCGAACGGGUGAGUAACACGUGAGUAACCUGCCCUUGACUUUGGGAUAACUUCAGGAAACUGGGGCUAAUACCGGAUAGGAGCUCCUGCUGCAUGGUGGGGGUUGGAAAGUUUCGGCGGUUGGGGAUGGACUCGCGGCUUAUCAGCUUGUUGGUGGGGUAGUGGCUUACCAAGGCUUUGACGGGUAGCCGGCCUGAGAGGGUGACCGGCCACAUUGGGACUGAGAUACGGCCCAGACUCCUACGGGAGGCAGCAGUGGGGAAUAUUGCACAAUGGGCGGAAGCCUGAUGCAGCAACGCCGCGUGCGGGAUGACGGCCUUCGGGUGGUAAACCGCUUUCGCCUGUGACGAAGCGUGAGUGACGGUAAUGGGUAAAGAAGCACCGGCUAACUACGU